UAUAAAACAACAAAUUUGACACACUAAAUAUUAUCUUUAACGUUACACGUUUAACAUCGACGAUUUGAAUAAAAAUUUUAUUCGCACACUGUUCCUGUUUGAAUACUUAAUAGAAAUUGUCCUAUAGUUUUGUCGCGGAGUCUGUAUAUUUAUAUAUAUACACACACACACACACAUAUAUAUAUAUAUAUAUAUAUAAAUUUAUAAAAAAAUGAAAAUUAACCCUAUAUAUGUUCUAUAUAUUUUCUAUACAUUCCGAAGAAUCGAAUGGUUGAAGUACCGGAGGACCGGGCUUUCUUUCAACAAACAACACUUCUAAAUCUAUUAAAGAAGAUAGUUAUUAAGCGAAGAAGAAAGAGAAGCUACAAACGAAGAAUGUAACAUGCCGGAAGAAUAAAACAUUUGUGAAUCUAUGACAGAUGAAUAUCUAAAAAGUAAAGGGUUUUUUGUAGACCAAAUCUUUCUAUAAUAAUUGGAGCAUCUAAGCUUUCAAAAAUUAUCGGUGCUGCUGGAGGUUUGAGAAACUUGCUUUUUCAAAAAUAACAAGUCUACCCUAUGCAGGAUUUUUAUAUUAUUCCGAAAUCCUUCAAGAAACUCCAUCUGUGAAUCUAUUGAAAAUCUUUACAAUCAACUACUUGUACGGUAGUAGUGUAAUAUAUAUUCCCAGUAGAAUUAUUUCAGGAUUUAUGAAGAAAAUCAGCUAGACAUGCUGCAGUCAAAAGUACAUCAACUCAUUUACUUGUAUCGAUGCUUCUCAGAAAGAUACGUACGAUAAUAUUGGACAAUAAAGAACCAAAGAAACAACUCUAUUAGAAAUGCUCCAACUAUUAGAGAAACAUAUGGUGCUAUAAAAGUAACUCUACUUUCUAGACAUUCAACUAUCUUAGAUUUUCCAUUUUUCUAUUUCGCAUAUAGUUUCUUUUUUUCUUCGCUUAAUAACUUCGCUAAUUACAAAAUAUAACAACAGAAAUCAGGAUGCAUUCCUAAUUCUUCAGGACUCUCAUAGAAGCAACUUUUACUUUUAUGAUAAAAAGAAAUUAGUAAAUGUUAUAGAUAUCUGAUUUAUGGAAUAUAAAAUAAAACCUAGUCUUCUUUAAUAGAUUUAGAAAUGUUUGUUGAAGGAAAAUCCAGUUCUCUGCUUCUUCCAUCAUUCGAUUGUAGUUAGAACUUCUGUUCUAAAUUUUCCAACUCGUCAGAUGGUGACACUAUUAAUACUAAACUAUACUAAUUUCCAACCUUAAAUUAUAUACACGAAUAAUAGUUACACGGAAACAUAGUAGUAAAAUUAACAGUAGAGGUCAAUAGAAAAGCAACAAUUUGAAAUACGUAAAAUUAUAAUUCCCAAAAGUGGUUGAAACAUGGUUGUCAUUCCAUUUUAUGUCUCACUACCUUAUUUAGAUCGAAUUAAUUAGAGAAAAAUAUUUCUUCGUAUUCUAUCGAUUGAUGACAUUAUUCUGACAGAUAACUUUAAUAAUGUUAAACAAUCAAUUUGGCAAUAAUGUCGCGCGUUCGAAAGUCGAGUUUUCAUGGAGUAUUUUUAGAAAUAUAUUCAUUUAUUUGUUUAAAAGUUAUUACGCCUUAUAAAUGAGAUAAAAUAAAGAAGAUAUAUUUUGAAAUUUUAUUACAAGGAAGAUAAUAAUGCCGCUCCAACUCUUAAAAAAAUUUGUGAUGUUUAUUAAUCGAUGUAUUAAUAAUGAACAUCACACAUAGCUACAUUAAAUGUUUUCAAUAUAGAAGGUAUGAUGUAAGUGAUGCAAGUGAAGUCAACAACUAAUCAUCGAUCAUAAAACAAUCUUAUAUCAUUCGAAGAAUGCUGAAUAUAAAAAAAAUCCAAUGUUUGUGUCCCACAUGAUUCAAUAGUGAAACAUUUAAUGGAUUGUAUUUCUGUCUGGGAAUCGUUACUAAAACCAAUGCUUUUUGAAAUAAUCUACGAAAAGGAUCAUUAUGUAUAGAAGGAGAAUCAAUUGUUGCCGCCUGUUCAAACUAUUGAUCAUAAUCUCUAUUCUAAACAAUCGGAAAAUGAUUUGCUUUUAUAUUGAAAUACGAAGAAACCUUUUUGGAACGCGCGUUUUGUUAAUUUCUUUUUCUUGAUGUAUUCGAUGUUGGAAAUUAAGUCCAUAAAUUGGAGUAUUGUUAAAUUAAAAUUUUAAAAUUGACUUCAAACAGCUUAAAAAGAAUAUCGCUGAAAGAUUCCUGUCUUUUGCUUGGUGACAAUAUUAUUGUACGAGUAUUCUCAAUUCUAACAAAAAGUAGCAAUUGUUGAUUGCAUAAUUUAAUUCAUCCAUCAUUUUUAAUAUGUUCUAUCCAUACUGACAAAUCUUUUAUAAAUUAUCAACUGGAAUGCCCCAUUUUAUUUAUUUUUUCCUUCUCGAAAGAUUAUUUAAUAUGAUUAAGACAUAUUUUUUAAGUUCUAUAAGCCAAGAUAUAUGUUAUGAAUUUCCAUGAUAAAAUCUAAAGCCUGAGUAACUCCAUUAACUCUGACAUACUGCAAAUAUUGUAAGUGCUUUCCUAUAAAAUUAAUGAAAAUUUGAGUCAUACUUUUUUAUUU